UACGUAGGGUGCGAGCGUUGUCCGGAAUUAUUGGGCGUAAAGAGCUUGUAGGCGGUUUGUCGCGUCUGCUGUGAAAUCUCAAGGCUCAACCUUGAGCUUGCAGUGGGUACGGGCAGACUAGAGUGUGGUAGGGGAGACUGGAAUUCCCGGUGUAGUGGUGAAAUGCGUAGAUAUCGGGAGGAACACCAGUGGCGAAGGCGGCUUCCUGGCCUGUUCUUGACGCUGAGGCGCGAAAGCUAGGGGAGCAAACGGG
rnacentral:rRNA from 1 species